rnacentral:lncRNA from 1 species
CUAUCAAAGUGGUCUAUAGGUUUUAAUUUGUGAAAUUAAGGGUCCGUUUGAUUGCAAAGAUGAAAUUUGGGUGGAAAGAAAACGAAUUUCAGAGAAUUGAAUUGGCUAAAAAUUGUUUUCCUGGAAAUUAUAAAUUAUUAUGUUUGAUUGUAUAAUUUUCCAUAUUUCUACAUGAAAAAUGUUGAAAUAAAAGUAUUUUUUGGUAUUCGUUUGACUUUGUUUUAUAUAAAAAUUAUCAAUUAAAUGGAUAAAAUUUACUGGUAUUGGGGAUAAAAUUUGUUUUCAUUGCCAAAAAAAAAAGCCAAGAAAAUUAUCUAACUUUUAG